rnacentral:rRNA from 1 species
ACAGGGUGAGAGACCCUGUCGCCGAAAGUCCAAGGGUUCCUGCUUAAAGCUAAUCUGAGCAGGGUAAGCCGGCCCCUAAGGCGAGGCCGAAAGGCGUAGUCGAUGGGAACCAGGUUAAUAUUCCUGGGCCAGGAGAUGGUGACGGAUCGCAGGUGUAGUUCCUCCUUAUCGGAUUGGAGGGGCUGCUGAGCGGUUCCUGGAAAUAGCCCUCCACAAGACCGUACCCUAAACCGACACAGGUGGACUGGUAGAGAAUACCAAGGCGCUUGAGAGAACCACAUUUAAGGAACUCGGCAAAAUACCUCCGUAAGUUCGCGAGAAGGAGGCCCGGUUGCUGCGCAAGCAGUGGCUGGGGGCACAAACCAGGGGGUGGCGACUGUUUACUAAAAACACAGGGCUCUGCGAAGCCGUAAGGCGACGUAUAGGGUCUGACGCCUGCCCGGUGCCGGAAGGUUAAAAGGAGAUGUGCAAGCAUUGAAUUGAAGCCCCGGUAAACGGCGGCCGUAACUAUAACGGUCCUAAGGUAGCGAAAUUCCUUGUCGGGUAAGUUCCGACCUGCACGAAUGGCGUAACGACUUCCCCGCUGUCUCAAAUGUGGACUCAGCGAAAUUGAAUUGUCUGUGAAGAUGCAGACUUCCCGCGGUUAGACGGAAAGACCCCAUGCACCUUUACUAUAGCUUCGCACUGGCAUCAGGAUUGUGAUGUGCAGGAUAGGUGGUAGGCAUUGAAACCGGGACGCCAGUUCCGGUGGAGCCAUCCUUGAGAUACCACCCUUCGCACUCUUGAUGUCUAACCGCGGCCCGUUAUCCGGGUCCGGGACCCUGCGUGGUGGGUAGUUUGACUGGGGCGGUCGCCUCCCAAAGAGUAACGGAGGCGCGCGAAGGUUGGCUCAGAGCGGUCGGAAAUCGCUCGUUGAGUGCAAUGGCAGAAGCCAGCCUGACUGCAAGACUGACAAGUCGAGCAGAGACGAAAGUCGGCCAUAGUGAUCCGGUGGUCCCGAGUGGAAGGGCCAUCGCUCAACGGAUAAAAGGUACGCUGGGGAUAACAGGCUGAUGAUGCCCAAGAGUCCAUAUCGACGGCAUCGUUUGGCACCUCGAUGUCGGCUCAUCUCAUCCUGGGGCUGGAGCAGGUCCCAAGGGUACGGCUGUUCGCCGUUUAAAGAGGUACGUGAGCUGGGUUUAGAACGUCGUGAGACAGUUCGGUCCCUAUCUGCCGUGGGUGUAGGAUACUUGAGAGGAGUUGCCCCUAGUACGAGAGGACCGGGGUGAACGUUCCACUGGUGGACCAGUUGUCGUGCCAACGGCAGUGCUGGGUAGCUAUGAACGGACAGGAUAAACGCUGAAGGCAUCUAAGCGUGAAGCCCCCCCUCAAAACAAGGUAUCCCUUGAGAGCCGUGGAAGACCACCACGUCGAUAGGCCGGAGAUGUAAGCGCAGCAAUGCGUUCAGUUGACCGGUACUAAUGGCUC